UCUCCUUUGAGCUCUGGAGUUUUCCUCCAGCAUUGUAAGACUCUAUGGUGAGAGUGGUGCAGAAGCCUGUUUUGGCCGAGGUCAUUUGGUCCAAUUGGAUGGAUACCAAAACACACUCUACCGUGCUACAUUAUGUAUUGGAUGUUCUCUUAUACACUGAAUACCCUGGCCCAAGGAAGUAAACACUUUAUUUUACGAAGGUUAAACUCCUGCUUCGACCUGCUGUAACUCUAUCAUGGUGUUUUGAUCGUUAACGCCGAUGGCUCUUCAACAGAGGUCAUGAAAGGAAAAAAAAGGUCAGGUAAAAUCGGAGCCUCUUACUUUUUUUUUAAGCAUGGCGGUCCCUAUGAAGAAAGAGGUUUUUUUUUUUUUUUUUUUUGGAAAAAAAGAAAAACAAUCAGAAUUUUAUUCAAAUGUUGAGCAAGUACCCGAGUGUAAGCGGUUGUGGCACAAUAGACACGAAAGCUUAUGAAGAAUCGAAGAUACGGUUGCUUAUGUGGAAAGCUGCGGCAAAAUCGUCAACUCGAUUAGCAUCACCGUUCCUGUUGGUGGCGAUAAUUCGAUAUGGAAGCCCAUGAAAUCUACCUGAGCCGAAAUCCAAAUCUACAUGAAGCGUUAUAUCCAUGCGCUUCUUGGUUGUGAUACCACCUUCCAUGAAUACGGUUAGCAAAGGGGGUAUCGUCCAAGAAGCUUGUCUCCUCACCCUACAUUCGCGCACAGGCAGCUGUUAACAAGACAGAGCUAAGAGAACCACAAAAUCCCCAACUUCAGCAGCAGCCAUGUUCCACAGUUCCAAGUUCCAAUAUUCUAUCAAGUCAACCAAUGGAAAGGCGAUAGAAAGGCCGUCUGAACUCUAAGCCUAGAUGGUGGUCAACGACAGGUUGAACCCUUAGCAGAUCUUGAGAGACCUCCAGGACUGCAGCACGUUUUAUGCUCCUGCCGCAUGUUCGCCCUACGGCUAAUGCAAAGGGCCAUCGUAUUAUAAGUCCCUCUUAAUCGAAGACACGGAUUCCAUUGAUUUAAUCUGCACCCACGAGUAAGAACCUAGAGUUUAAUAAUCCGUGUAACAGGCUCUUAAUUUUAAAGAAAUUAUAAAAACUUCAAACAUUCUGAGAAGUCAAUCUAUUUUCACGAAAAAAACGAAACCAUGAGAAUGAUUAUAUUAUAAGUAAUGUGUCUAUGUACUUUCUUGUUUUAUAUCGAAUCAAUGACAUUAUUAUUAAGAGCCACUAAGCACUAUUUGUAUGAAAACCUGUUUUCAUCACGUAUAAUUAUUUAUGAUAACGAAAUGUCUGCCGCGAUAUCAAAGUGAUGGUGACAAGGACCUAAAAAUCCGUGUGCAUUUCACCCAAAACAACUAAACUACUUCAAAUAACGAUAAUUUUUAUCCUAAUCGUGUAGAAAUAUUUAUCCCUAGUAAUCUAAAGUUGUAUAAAUUCCUUUUUUCUAAA